rnacentral:rRNA from 1 species
UACGUAGGGUGCUAGCGUUGUUCGGAAUUACUGGGCGUAAAGCGCGCGUAGGCGGCUUAUCAAGUCAGGGGUGAAAUCCCACGGCUCAACCGUGGAAUUGCCUUUGAAACUGUUAAGCUUGAGUGUCGGAGGGGAUAGCGGAAUUGCUAAUGUAGAGGUGAAAUGCGUAGAGAUUAGCAGGAACACCAGUGGCGAAGGCGGCUAUCUGGACGACAACUGACGCUGAGGCGCGAAAGCGUGGGGAUCAAACAGG